rnacentral:rRNA from 16 species
CGAGACAACUCUCUCUAAGGAAGUCGGCAAAAUAUUCCCGUAACUUCGGGAGAAGGGGUGCCCCCUCACGAAAGGGGGUCGUAGUGACCAGGCCCGGGCGACUGUUUACCAAAAACAUAGGUCUCCGCAAAGUUAUAAGACCAUGUAUGGGGGUUGACGCCUGCCCAGUGCCGGAAGGUCAAGGAAGUUGGUGAACUAAUCACAGGGAAGCCGCGACCGAAGCCCCGGUGAACGGCGGUCGUAACUAUAACUGACCUAAGGUAGCGAAAUUCCUUGUUGGGUAAGCUCCGACCCGCACGAAAGGCAUAACAAUCUGGGCACUGUCUCGGAGAGAGGCUCG